ACUCCUGAUGUCGCUCCGGCAGCAGCAGCACACAGUAGCCCCCUGUGUCCUUCACCUUGGCUGGGAAAAAGACAGCAGCCUCCGCGAGAAAGAGAGCACCUUCACCUCAGACUUGAAUGGGGGCACCACAGCCACUGCACCCAAUGACUUCAUUUUAGGAAUGCAGAGCAAGCCUUUCAGGCACAGAGAGCUCAUGGAGGCUGGGCAGUUGGCAGAGAUGGUAACACAUACUGUAUCCAUUGCCAUUCACGAUGCUGUUGCUGUAAGUCAUAGAAGCCCUCAGCCUACACCUAGCCAAUUACAGUGGCAACUUAGCAAUUUUAGAUGGUACCGUUCCAUAAAAUGCAUCUUAUCCAUUACUACCAUACUAGAUUUCUUGAAGAUAAUCAUCAUGCUCCAUCUCUGUUGCUAA
rnacentral:lncRNA from 1 species